GGAAGCCAGCUGGAAAUACAACAAAAUGCCUCUCCCUCUCCUUUAGCAAAACACGUGUCAGAGCAAUGCAAGAUUUGAUUGGGACUGCUUUACUUCGUUAACAAUUACAGCAGCAGUAGGGCUGACUGGAGCCAUUGUGCAGUGUCGGGAACAUACCAGCACACCGAGAAUAGCGUCAUGUCAUAAGGACUCAGAGCAGGUGGACCCUGCUGUGAUGCACAAAGAGGACCACGCAAGAUAUGAUAAAGAUCUACGUCACUGAAUUUUGGUUCCAUUUUUGUAUCUCAGCUUCCCG
rnacentral:lncRNA from 1 species